CCUACGGGAGGCUGCAGUGAGGAAUAUUGGUUCAUGGGCGCGAGCCUGAACCAGCCAAGUCGCGUGAAGGAUGACUGCCCUACGGGUUGUUAACUUCUUUUAUAAAAGAAUAAAGUGAGGCACGGGUGCCUUUUUGUAUGUACUUUAUGAAUAAGGAUCGGCUAACUCCGUGCCAGCAGCCGAGGUAAUACGGAGGAUCCGAGCGUUAUCCGGAUUUAUUGGGGUUUAAGGGAGCGGAGAUGGGUUGGUAAGUCAGUUGUGAAAGUUUGCGGCUCAACCGUAAAAUUGCAAUUGAUACUGGCAGUCUUGAGAAGAGUUGAGGUAGGCGGAAUGCGUGGUGUAGCGGUGAAAUGCUUAGAUAUCACGCAGAACUCCGAUUGCGAAGGCAGCUUACUAAACUGCCACUGACAUUGAGGCGCGAAAGUGUGGGUAUCAAACAGGAUUAGAUACCCCGGUAGUC
rnacentral:rRNA from 1 species